GGGCGACUAGCUCAGUUUGGUUAGAGCGUACGGUUCACAUCCGUAAGGGCGUUGGUUCAAGUCCAACGUCGCCCA
rnacentral:tRNA from 3 species